CCUACGGGUGGCAGCAGUGGGGGAUAUUGCACAAUGGGGGAAACCCUGAUGCAGCGACGCCGCGUGGGUGAAGAAGUAUUUCGGUAUGUAAAGCCCUAUCAGCAGGGAAGAAAGAAGACGGUACCUGACUAAGAAGCCCCGGCUAACUACGUGCCAGCAGCCGCGGUAAUACGUAGGGGGCGAGCGUUAUCCGGAUUCACUGGGUGUAAAGGGAGCGUAGACGGCCGUGCAAGCCAGGAGUGAAAGCCCGGGGCCCAACCCCGGGACUGCUCUUGGAACUGUGCGGCUGGAGUGCCGGAGGGGCAGGCGGAAUUCCUGGUGUAGCGGUGAAAUGCGUAGAUAUCAGGAGGAACACCGGCGGCGAAGGCGGCCUGCUGGACCGCGACUGACGUUGAGGCUCGAAAGCGUGGGGAGCGAACAGGAUUAGAUACCCUGGUAGUC
rnacentral:rRNA from 1 species